UACGUAGGGUGCAAGCGUUAAUCGGAAUUACUGGGCGUAAAGCGUGCGCAGGCGGUGAUGUAAGACAGUUGUGAAAUCCCCGGGCUUAACCUGGGAAUGGCAUUUGAGACUGCAUAGCUAGGGUGCGGAAGAGGGAAGCGGAAUUUCCGGUGUAGCGGUGAAAUGCGUAGAUAUCGGAAGGAACACCAGUGGCGAAAGCGGCUUCCUGGUCCAGCACCGACGUCAGGCACGAAAGCGUGGGGAGCAAACAGG
rnacentral:rRNA from 1 species